CUUGCUCCACCGGAAAAAGAGGAGUGGCGAACGGGUGAGUAACACGUGGGUAACCUGCCCAUCAGAAGGGGAUAACACUUGGAAACAGGUGCUAAUACCGUAUAACAAUCAAAACCGCAUGGUUUUGAUUUGAAAGGCGCUUUCGGGUGUCGCUGAUGGAUGGACCCGCGGUGCAUUAGCUAGUUGGUGAGGUAACGGCUCACCAAGGCCACGAUGCAUAGCCGACCUGAGAGGGUGAUCGGCCACAUUGGGACUGAGACACGGCCCAAACUCCUACGGGAGGCAGCAGUAGGGAAUCUUCGGCAAUGGACGAAAGUCUGACCGAGCAACGCCGCGUGAGUGAAGAAGGUUUUCGGAUCGUAAAACUCUGUUGUUAGAGAAGAACAAGGAUGAGAGUAACUGUUCAUCCCUUGACGGUAUCUAACCAGAAAGCCACGGCUAACUACGUGCCAGCAGCCGCGGUAAUACGUAGGUGGCAAGCGUUGUCCGGAUUUAUUGGGCGUAAAGCGAGCGCAGGCGGUUUCUUAAGUCUGAUGUGAAAGCCCCCGGCUCAACCGGGGAGGGUCAUUGGAAACUGGGAGACUUGAGUGCAGAAGAGGAGAGUGGAAUUCCAUGUGUAGCGGUGAAAUGCGUAGAUAUAUGGAGGAACACCAGUGGCGAAGGCGGCUCUCUGGUCUGUAACUGACGCUGAGGCUCGAAAGCGUGGGGAGCAAACAGGAUUAGAUACCCUGGUAGUCCACGCCGUAAACGAUGAGUGCUAAGUGUUGGAGGGUUUCCGCCCUUCAGUGCUGCAGCUAACGCAUUAAGCACUCCGCCUGGGGAGUACGACCGCAAGGUUGAAACUCAAAGGAAUUGACGGGGGCCCGCACAAGCGGUGGAGCAUGUGGUUUAAUUCGAAGCAACGCGAAGAACCUUACCAGGUCUUGACAUCCUUUGACCACU
rnacentral:rRNA from 1 species